CUGAGCAUUAGAAGUCAUCCUAUAGGGGGUCAUGGGGGGGGGCAACUUGGUGGUUCAAUGGAUUGAGAGCCAGGAUUAGAAAGUCUUGUAUUCAAAUUUGACCUCAGAUACUUUCUAGCUUGUGACCCUGGGCAAAUCAUUCAGCCUCCAUUGCCUAGCCCUUAUUGCUCCUCUGCCUAGGAAUACUCAGUAUUGAAGGUAAAGGUGAAAAAAAAAGAAGCAGCCAUCCUCUGAAGGCACUGCUUUGAAAGCAGACCUACCUACCUAUUUCUUCACUUUAUAAUAUUCCUUUGGAUAGACCAAGCCACAAUGGAUAUAAAUUUGAUUAACCCACAGGAACUAACUGUGAUUGGGAAAACAGGUAAUUCGUGAUUGCCUUCUGACCCAAGUUUGAUGUGUUUGUCAUCAUAUGAAUACACCAACCAAAGGCAUUUCUCACUUUCAAAGUAAAAUGGUGCUACAAGGCUCUGCCUCAUUUUGGACUCUCUUCUCUACUGAUUUGAAAACUGAAGCACCUGAUGACAAUGAACUAAGGCUGUUGGAGCUGCAACUAAGAUGAAAAUUCAGUCAUUCGACAUCAAUAUGUUCCAUGGUAAAGCUCGUUGUUCAAGAAUCUUCUAAUGAAAAGUGAUUCCCCACUGGACAUUCCAGAGCCCUGCCCUUGAACAGGGCUUUCCCUCUUCACAGCACAAAGACCACUGGCUGUUCUACCAGAGCUAAAAUGUAGAUCUGUGAAAGCAGUCUGUGUCAAUAGUGCUAUCUCGAGGAUCACAUGACCUGGCCUUUGUAUCCUUUCUGCUGCUGUGUUAGUGGCCAUGGCCAAUGAUUGAGACAGGGGAUAGCCAGGGAUGAAAAAAUGCACAAUCAGGAAACCAGCUCUCAAAAGGGUAAGCAAAGGCAGCCCUCAAACCCUUCUCCCACCAGGACAGAACAAAUUACCUACUUCUCUGCUUGGUCAAUUUGGGGAAGACAUGAGAUAGACUAAGUAGAAAGAAAAGGAAACUAGAUCUCAGGCCUGGAGACCAUUGGAUUUAUUCUGAUGGAAGCACAAGGCAGAUUGCAUGGAUCACCUUGGAGACCAUCUUCUUCUUGCUGAAAGAUAACCCUACCUCAGUAGCAGCUGUCCCACCAGCCCAGCUUUCUCAACUUAGGCUUGGAUAUCAAGCUAAUCAGUUUGAUCUGACAGAUUUUAAUUAAAUUAAUUAAGGCUUUUCUGAAUGGGCCUGAUUAGCAUCCUACAGAGGUUUUCUUUCUGGAAAGCAGCCCUGCUGGGAUCAGCACUAAUACUUUCCUUUCCUCUAAUAAUGAAGAUGUCUUUAUUUUGCUUAGAUUACUAAUGGAGAGGUGGGGGUGGGAGUUAGUAGCUUGCCCCCCCCCCCCUUGGUUGGUAUUGUUUGUUGAGUAUUUUUUAUUUUUCUCUCUUUAAAAAAUAAACUUAGAGCAGUGGAGAUUUAGUACCUAGGUACUGAUUACAUGACUAAUUUUAAAUCUUCUAGAAUGGGUAAGAUUUGGUUAUUAUUUAAGGAAUUUUCUAGAGUAACCUCAUUUAAUAUAAUUUUUAGCAUCCCAAACACCUUACAUUUAAGAGCCAUGAGGAUAAGCCAUAGCACUUUCCAAAUCUUCCCUCUGUCCUAAUUUUUCCUACAUCAUAUCCUAUUUAUGGUUCUAGAUCAAACUGAGUGGUCAAGAAGUAGAAUGUCUACAUAUUUUAGAGAACUAAGAAUGACUUCACAUGAAAACACUUGGAAGAACAAUCUCUAUCCUGUCUUUGUUUCUUUGUUACAGUUUUAUUUUUUUUAAACCCUUACCUUCAUCUUGGAGUCAAUACUGCCUAUAGUUUUUAAAUGCUCCAAGUAUCAACAAGGUUUCCACAGGUAUGAUUUGUUAAGACACAGUCUGGAUACUCUAGAACCUAUGUAAUCUAACAGUCUCAACAAUAUUCCUACAGGUUUGAUGAUGAAACUGAAGUCCAGAGAGGGAAACAACAUCACACAGGUAAAACGGUAAAUGACAAAGAUAAGAGAUGAACCCAUUUCCUCCCAUUCUAAAGCCAUGGGGAACAGAAGAAUAAAAGGAAGGCUGAGAAAUAAAAGGAGGGGAAAUGACUGGGAGGGGAUGAGAAAUAGGAUUUUUACUUCCAGAAGAAAUCACCUGAAACCAGUGAUGAAAAGUAACUUCUUGUUGUUUAUUCAUUCAUGUCCUACUCUUUAUGAUCCCUUUUGAGGUUUUCUUGUCUAGAGAUUCUGGAAUGGUUUACCAUUUCCUUCUCUGACUCAUUUGACAGAUGAGGAAACAGAGGCAAAUGAAGUUAAGCGACUUGCUCAAGGUCACACAGUAAGUAAAUGUCUGAGACCAGAUUUAAACUCAGAAAGUAGCAGAAAAGUAAAGGAAGAGAUAAAAUUUUUUUUAAUGGAUUUUGCCUUUUGCUGCAGCAGGGGAGUGAAAUAAAAACAGAGCCAAACAGUAUUUGGGGUUUCAAAAAUCUACAUGGAAUCUAAUUACAUAAGAGUGCUGGACUUGGAGUCAACUUGGAGUUACCUCAGACAACUUAUUAGUUGUGUGAUCGUGGACAAGUCACUUCUACUCUCUGAGCCUCAGUAUCCCCAUCUGGAAAAUGAGGAAGUCUAAUGAGAUGGCCUUUCAGACUCUGUACAGCUCUAAAUCCACUGGUCCCAUAAUCCCACAUUUUUUCUAUCAUUUGAUUGUACCUGUCUGACCAGAAACUCAGUUGUUUUCUUCUUCUUUAAAAAAACAAACAAACUCCUUCCUACUAUCCUACAUUUGUUAUAAUUAUCUGUUUCAAUGUCUGAGAGCAGGAAGGGCUAAGCAAACAGGGUUAAAUGACUUGAUCAGGGUCAUACAACUAGGAAGUAUCUGAGGCCAUAUUUGAACUCAGGUCCUCUUGACUCCAGAACCAGUACUCUAUCCACUUUGCUAUCUAGCUGCCCCCCAUUAACUUUCUUUUUCAUAGGCAUGGGAGUUUGGGAAAAGGUGAGGAGGAAAGAGAUUGGCAACAGAGGAGUGACAGACAUUUAAGAACAAAUUCUACCAUCUUCUUUUACAGUCCUAAGGAAAUGAAAGAGCAGCAAAACAAAAACAGAAGUUCCCCCUAAAACAGUAACUUUUAAAAUUAUGAUGUAGAUGAAUCCUUUGGGUAUGUUAAAGUUUGCUUUAUUUUUAGAAUUUCAUCAUCUCAUUCUACUCUUGACCAGAAAAGCAUUCACUCUGGCGUCCAAAUGCAAAUGAAAAGCCCUUAAAAACAAUAGAGGGUGUUUAUAUGCGCCAAGGCUCUGUUACAAAAAAUCCAAGUACAAUGAAAAAAAUUAGUUUUGCUAACAAGUAGCAAGUCAUAUUAAAGCGAUCUAAUGUGAGAGAAGCAAGAAAUAAACAGAGUAGACCAUGAUCAAAGGUGAUCCCUAGACAAAUAGGGGUAAUUCUGAGCCUGCCAUAGAAUCCCAAGAUAAAUUAGAUGGCUACCACCCAUUUAUAGCCCCCAAGGCCUUUUCUGAUUAGAUUUUCCAGACCUGAAAGUAAUUUUGGUGGCAUAGCUCCUGAUUUAACCUAGCAUGGGGGUUCCUUGAAUUGAACUGAAUCAAGAGGUCAAGGAUAAAGGAAUCUUAAUUUUUAAAUGGAUUUUUGACAGAUUCCUUUCUCACAAGUGCUUCCCAGACUUGAGAGGAAAAAAGAAAGGGAUUCCUUCACUGGGAACUAGUUCAGUUUGAGGUGAAAGAAAUGAUGGGGUCUGGGGAGUUUCAUCAACAAGCUAAAAGAACAGAUUUUACUCCACAUUAAGAGAAAUUUAUUGGGCAAUUUUCUGAUUCUGAAGCCAUAACUUCAAAGUAUACACUGCUUUGAGGAAUGUAUACCUAUUUGCAUAUGAUAUUUCUGAGUGUUUUGUGGUAUACAAACUUCAAUCCAUCCAUGUUGUGUAUAGGUAGACCAAAAAGUUAGCAGUUUACCUGUCUGUCUAUCCAUCCAUCCAUUAAAAAUUUAUUGUCUGUGAUUGCACAUAUAAAAUCUAUAUGAGAUUGUUUUCCAUCUCAAGAGGAAUAGGGAUUUGGGGGAUGGUGGAAGGGAGAGAAUUCGAGACUCAUUAUUCUUUGAAAAAUGUUGGAAACUUUUUACAUGUAAUUGGGGUAAAAAUAUAAAUAAAUUAAUAAAUAUACUGUCUUCAGGGCUAAGACAAUGG